rnacentral:rRNA from 1 species
UUACGGGAGGCGACAGUAGGGAAUCUUCGGCAAUGGACGGAAGUCUGACCGAGCAACGCCGCGUUAGUGAAGAAGGUCUUCGGAUCGUAAAGCUCUGUUGCCAGGGAAGAAGGGCAAGGAGAGUAACUGCUCUUUGCUUGACGGUACCUGAGAAGAAAGCCCCGGCCUAACUACGUGCCAGCAGCCGCGGUAA